GAAAUGCGAUAAGUAAUGUGAACUGCAGAAUUCAGUGAAUCAUCGAAUCUUUGAACGCACCUUGCGCUCCUUGGUAUUCCUUGGAGCAUGCCUGUUUGAGUAUCAUGAAAUCUUCAAAGUAAAUCUUUUGUUAACUCAAUUGGUUUCUACUUUGGUAUUGGAGGUCUUUGCAGCUUCACACCUGCUCCUCUUUGUUCAUUAGCUGGAUCUCAGUGUUAUGCUUGGUUCCACUCGGCGUGAUAAGUUAUCUAUCGCUGAGGACACUGUAAAAGGUGGCCAAGGUAAAUGCAGAUGAACCACUUCUAAUAGUCCAUUGACUUGGACAAUACUUUUAUGAUCUGAUCUCAAAUCAGGUAGGACUACCCGCUGAACUUAAGC
rnacentral:misc_RNA from 1 species